rnacentral:lncRNA from 1 species
CUGGCUACUGCAAUGGGGAGGUUGCAAGUCAUCUGUUUGAGAAUCCAGUGAGAGUUUCAGUUAACGGGUCACUGUUCACCAGCAACUCUACAACCAACUUAGUAGGACAUGUUUCUUCUAAUGAUGCCUUUGUCUACCUGCACCUCCAUGCCAUCUGUGGCAUCCAGCACAGCAUGGAGAUUGGCUUCAAGCAUUCCUUGCCUCAGCUUGAGUCUCUGGGCAUUGCCCAGGAGAACCAAGUGAAGAUAUCAGCUUUGAGAGGAGAUACAUAUAAGGGCCUGCUGAAUAUUGCCUUUGGAUCAUGCUCCCUCAAAACAGAUGGAGAAGUGAAACCAGGAAAUAAUGAAACAGAUACAGAAUGGAUGUUUACUUUGAUGAAUAAAUGCAUUACCUUGGAGAAAGUGGGAUUACCCCAAACCCUAGUCACUGAGGGCUCAUUCAUGGUGAAUACCUACAAUGUCAGCUUGACCGUAAACCUCCAGUGUGACAGCAAAACAGCUUAUGCACAAGUGGAGAGCUCCUAUGGACAGAAGUACACGCUCGGAGGAAUUCUGAGGCAUUCAGUUGACUGGCUCAGUGACCUAGGGCUGCCUGCUGAAAACUCUGCUCAACUUUCUGUAGCCAAAGGCUCUAUGACGGAAGGCAUUUUAUCACUACAGAUUGGUGAAUGCAAGUUCAUGGCUAGAGGAGAUCUCCAGACCCAGAAUAAAACGGAAUGGACUCUG